rnacentral:rRNA from 1 species
CGCUAGCGGGAUGCUUACACAUGCAAGUCGAACGGCAGCACGGACUUCGGUCUGGUGGCGAGUGGCGAACGGGUGAGUAAUACAUCGGAACGUGCCCAAUCGUGGGGGAUAACGCAGCGAAAGCUGUGCUAAUACCGCAUGAGAUCUACGGAUGAAAGCAGGGGACCGCAAGGCCUUGCGCGAAUGGAGCGGCCGAUGGCAGAUUAGGUAGUUGGUGAGGUAAAGGCUCACCAAUCCUGCGAUCUGUAGCUGGUCUGAGAGGACGACCAGCCACACUGGGACUGAGACACGGCCCAGACUCCUACGGGAGGCAGCAGUGGGGAAUUUUGGACAAUGGGCGCAAGCCUGAUCCAGCCAUGCCGCGUGCAGGAUGAAGGCCUUCGGGUUGUAAACUGCUUUUGUACGGAACGAAAAGGCUUUCUCUAAUAAAGGGGGCUCAUGACGGUACCGUAAGAAUAAGCACCGGCUAACUACGUGCCAGCAGCCGCGGUAAUACGUAGGGUGCAAGCGUUAAUCGGAAUUACUGGGCGUAAAGCGUGCGCAGGCGGUGAUGUAAGACAGUUGUGAAAUCCCCGGGCUCAACCUGGGAACUGCAUCUGUGACUGCAUCGCUGGAGUGCGGCAGAGGGGGAUGGAAUUCCGCGUGUAGCAGUGAAAUGCGUAGAUAUGCGGAGGAACACCGAUGGCGAAGGCAAUCCCCUGGGCCUGCACUGACGCUCAUGCACGAAAGCGUGGGGAGCAAACAGGAUUAGAUACCCUGGUAGUCCACGCCCUAAACGAUGUCAACUGGUUGUUGGGUCUUCACUGACUCAGUAACGAAGCUAACGCGUGAAGUUGACCGCCUGGGGAGUACGGCCGCAAGGUUAA